rnacentral:rRNA from 1 species
AUUGAACGCUGGCGGCAUGCCUUACACAUGCAAGUCGAACGGCAGCAUAGGAGCUUGCUCCUGAUGGCGAGUGGCGAACGGGUGAGUAAUAUAUCGGAACGUGCCCUAGAGUGGGGGAUAACUAGUCGAAAGAUUAGCUAAUACCGCAUACGAUCUACGGAUGAAAGUGGGGGAUCGCAAGACCUCAUGCUCCUGGAGCGGCCGAUAUCUGAUUAGCUAGGUGGUGGGGUAAAAGCCUACCAAGGCGACGAUCAGUAGCUGGUCUGAGAGGACGACCAGCCACACUGGGACUGAGACACGGCCCAGACUCCUACGGGAGGCAGCAGUGGGGAAUUUUGGACAAUGGGGGCAACCCUGAUCCAGCAAUGCCGCGUGAGUGAAGAAGGCCUUCGGGUUGUAAAGCUCUUUUGUCAGGGAAGAAACGGUUUUGGAUAAUACCCAGAGCUAAUGACGGUACCUGAAGAAUAAGCACCGGCUAACUACGUGCCAGCCGCCGCCGUAAUAC